GCAUUGACGGUUCAGUGGUAGAAUUCUCGCCUUCCAUGUGGGAGACCAGGUUCAAUUCCUGGCCCAUGCA
rnacentral:tRNA from 1 species